GUAGGUGAACCUGCGGAAGGAUCAUUAACACUUUUUAUCCAAUAAAAAAAAAAACUAAACGUGAACUUUUCCCCUCCCUAUAUUAUAUAUAUUUCGAUAUAUAUAUAUAUAGGCUAAACCAUUUAUUUUUACAAACCACUUUAAUUUUUUAUAAGUCUUCUGUAACAAAAAGACUUAACUAACUAAAAAUUUUACUUAAGAUGUCAAAUGUUGAUCUCUUAAUUAAUAUUUUUUCUUUACGAAAUAAAUAUUACUAUAUAAGAACAACUCUUAGCAAUGGAUAUCUUGGUUCUC
rnacentral:misc_RNA from 1 species